AGAAUUUUUACUGCCAGUGAAGAGCACAUUCUCUUCCAUCAUGCCUCUUCUCUCCAAGGUCUUCCUAGGGAAGGAUGGGCUGACGGAAGCGUCGUUCCGAAGUGGUCCAGUGCGCAGAGUCCGGGCUUCUCCUGGAAUAUUUGCCGGUGUCUCUUCUGGGUCAAAGCAACUCCACAGGAUAUUCCUGUUGAUCCCUGAGGAGUAGUGGGAGAGACACCAACUUGGCCAGCUCCAUGAGCCGCACUCAACAUAGGCCCCUCAUGGAGGAGCGGGGAUUCAAGGCUUCUGAGCCGGGCCCCUCAAAUGGCUGAGGCAAGAGAACCAGCUAGGGAACCUCCUGCUGCCUCAGGUUCUCUCCUCCUGUUGUUUGAGAACGUGGAUCCAAUUUUCUCCCCAGCACUGGAGAGGCGUCUCAGUCAUUUCUGCUGGUUGGGAAAGGCUUAUUGUGCCCAGGAAUGCAGCUGGUGUGCAGAAGGUGAGUGAAGGGUAAAUGGGGUGAGAGGCAAGAAGCAGCCGGCUAGCCCAGACAUGGAGCUGGCGCUGGACACAGAGCUUCCCAGAGAAGCCAGGCGUCAGGCUUCUUGUUCCUGGAAAGGGUACCUCCUUCUGACCUGACCCCAAAGAGCCAGCAUGCAGGGGCUGCUGUGACCAUACUCUCCGUGGGGUCCCCACGUAUGAACACACCCAUGGCCAGCUGCGGGUUAGUAGCAUUUGGAGAGAAAGAAGGUAUCACGCAAAAAGCAGGGCUUCUCCAUACGCUUGGUCAGGAAAGAAAAAAGCCAGGAAUACAGAAGUGGAGACUGCCGAAUGUGGCACACCAAAGUAUGCUGUCCUGGGCCUGGGUUGGCAGAGAGCAAUGAGGCAACAUGGAAGAGACAUCAAGAACCAGAGAAUAUCUGGUGAGAGCGCAAACUCAGUCCUCUGCUAGCAUUAAUUCCACAGCCAAAUCUCCCACAUGCAGGGAAACAGCAUGGGUCAGCACAGCCGGCCAGAGGAAAACGACUUUUGUGGGCGAGUUAUCUCUUCAACCAGAUCUUCGGAGCAAGUGUGCAGUGCCUGGUAGAGUCCACAGAGGUUUAAAAAAAAAACAAAACAGCAGUUGGAGAAGUUGUGGCAUUUGCCUGGAACAUCAUUGUUUUGAUAUUCUGGUAUUGAUUUUUACACCUACCUUCUGCUUAUGGAACUGAUACUGGUUUUCCAUUUGUGGUAGUGGGAUGAAUUAAAAAGUCAAACUACUCAGGAAAAAGAAUAUGAAUCGAUUGAAAG
rnacentral:lncRNA from 1 species